rnacentral:rRNA from 1 species
AUUGAACGCUGGCGGUAUGCUUAACACAUGCAAGUCGAACGAUGAGAAAGAGCUUGCUCUUUCGAUUAGUGGCGGACGGGUGUGUAACGCGUAGGAAUCUACCUAUUAGUGGGGGACAACUUAGGGAAACUUAAGCUAAUACCGCAUACGCCCUACGGGGGAAAGAAGGGGAUCGCAAGACCUUUUGCUAAUAGAUGAGCCUGCGUAGGAUUAGCUAGUUGGUGGGGUAAAAGCUCACCAAGGCGACGAUCCUUAACUGGUUUGAGAGAAUGAUCAGUCACACUGGAACUGAGACACGGUCCAGACUCCUACGGGAGGCAGCAGUGGGGAAUGUUGGACAAUGGGCGAAGGCCUGAUCCAGCAAUACCGCGUGUGUGAAGAAGGCCUUAGGGUUGUAAAGCACUUUCAAUUGGAAGGAAAACCUCGAAGCUAAUACCUUCGAGUUUGACAUUACCUUUAGAAGAAGCACCGGCUAACUCCGUGCCAGCAGCCGCCGUAAUAC